rnacentral:rRNA from 1 species
CGGGUGAGUAACACGUGGAUAACCUACCUAUAAGACUGGGAUAACUUCGGGAAACCGGAGCUAAUACCGGAUAAUAUAUUGAACCGCAUGGUUCAAUAGUGAAAGACGGUUUUGCUGUCACUUAUAGAUGGAUCCGCGCCGCAUUAGCUAGUUGGUAAGGUAACGGCUUACCAAGGCAGCGAUGCGUAGCCGACCUGAGAGGGUGAUCGGCCACACUGGAACUGAGACACGGUCCAGACUCCUACGGGAGGCAGCAGUC